GAGCGGGGUUGCAGCUCUGCCUUAGCAUGGGUCGUGUUGUGGAAUGGACGCUAGAAAAGCAAUUGGCGCGCCUGGGCCGUCUUUUCGCGCGGAAACCUGGGCGUUUCAGACCGUACCACUGCAGAGCCCCAUGGGUUUGAGCGUCUGAUGUCACAUCCUGCAAGGAAAACGGCUGAACGGCAAUCUGGCCGUCUUCCCAGUCGCCGCAGUCUCCUGGGCCUGAUUCAGCCAAAGUUCCCACCCAGGAAUCCUGGACGGCUGACAGGAAACAGACCCAAGUCUCUCGAGGCCGCUUGCUUUGUCAGCAUCUUUGGGUGGUCCAGAGAAGAUUGCAAACAGGAAAACCUUGAUUGCGCUGCAGGAUCUCAACUGUUUCGUGACCGCGCAGACGUUUGUGGUUUGGAACCGACAUCCUGUGACAAAGUAAGGCAAAGUUUUUCCUCGCACUAAAAGAAAUGUCUUUGCUGCUCUCACAACUGUGUUUUAAAAAAACAACAACACAAUACUAUUGUAUUAUUCAAUAUCAAUGAAGUUCUGGCUCUAGAAAAUCUUCCACUGAUUUAUUAUUUGGCAAAAAUCACAACAAGGUUUCAAAACAGCACACUUUGCUCUAAUUGGACCGGGAUGACAUCGAUCGGGCUUCUUUGAGCAACACCAACACGCACGAACAUCUUGAACUAAACAGGAAACGCUGGGAUGGUCUGCUGGCACGUGGCCAUGGCCUCCCUCUGACUCCACCCUGAGGCUUGAUACGUGAGCUUUUCCACAUCUGAGCCACACCACAAUAUUGAUCCACGGUCAAUACGCAGGGUUUAAAAGCAGGAUGAUGAGAAUAAGCCCCCGAGGGGUGCAAAGAGAUCACAAACUCUGGUGCUGCUGAUUUUGUCUACUACUACCUUGAAAUGAGACGAAAAUAACUAUCGAGGCUCACAUCCGUUAGUUGCGACGGCACGCACGCGGCUUAUCUGCAUUUGCUAUUAACAACAACUGUUAUCAAGCUAGUGCGGCAAUGCUAACAGUCGUCAAGCUAGCGUGGGAAAUGAUCCUAAAAUCAUUUAUUUCGAUGAAAUUCAUUAUGUCUUUGUAAUAAUAUAAAAAGAUUUGUUUGUUCAGACAAAAUCAAAUAAAAAUAGCCUAAAAUCCAUUAGAAUCAUUUUUUUUUAUCUUUCAAAACCAUAAUCAAAAAGUGCAAGGCCUGAUGGGAGCAAGUUCGACCAAGAGUCAAACGUGGGCCGAGCACGUAGGACAAUGACACUGCCGGGAUUUGCUUUUUUAAGACAUCUCACCGAGCGGCGCCUCAAAGAGGAAGUUGAAACGAGGAAGAGGAGAGGCGCCCGACCCUCAAUAACUCCCGCUCGGAUGCUGAGAGGAACUCAGAAAAGCUUCGCGCAGCUUCACAACAUGAACAGACGAAGCAGAUUUGAAAACUACAACCAAAGUUGAACGAGACAUUUUUAGAAUAACGUCAGCUCACUUUUUGUCAUUGUCACCUAACACCACUCCUGAAGUGUCAAUCAAAAGCCAGCGAAAAAAAUUGUUCUGGAUUGAAUGUACGCAGCAGGCUGUCAGUUACUGGAGUAUCUUUACGUCACCAAAGCGUUGGAUGACAUUAGCGAGAGAGCAAAACACUUCCUCUUUUACCGACACAUGAAACACUUCACUCUUGGCCCUUUUUUGUGGUUUCAUUCUUUGUCUUUAACACCAAAACCUUCCGUGGUCUUUGUUCCACGCAAAAAAAAAACGUGCUUCGUUAGAGACGCCCGUCUGGA